CAUCCCUCCUCUGAAGAAGCCCCAGUGGGCAGAACUCAUCACCAUGGACUGGACUUGGAGGAUCUUCUUCUUGGUGGCAGCAGCUACAGGUGUCCAGUCCCAGGUGCAGCUGGUGCAGUCUGGGGCAGAGGUGAAGAAGCCUGGGGCCUCCGUGAAGGUCUCCUGCAAGGCUUCUGGAUACACCUUCACCAACCACUACAUGCACUGGGUGCGACAGGCCCCUGGAAAAGGGCUUGAGUGGAUGGGAUGGAUCUACCCUGGUAAUGGUAACACAAAGUACGUGCAGAAUUUCCAGGGCAGAGUCACCAUGACUGCGGACAAGUCCACGAGCACAGCCUACAUGGAGCUGAGCAGCCUGAGAUCUGAGGACACGGCCGUGUAUUACUGUGCGAGAGACACAGUGUUAAAACCACAUCCUGAGAGUGUCAGAAACCCCAGUAAGGGGAAAGCUGUGCUGAGCUGA